ACAUGCCUACAACAUAGCAUUAAUACUUCGGAUCUCGUUAGAACUCUACAGUUAAGUGUGCCCAGGCUAGAGUAGUACUGGGAUGGGUGACCUCCUAGGAAGUCCUAGUGUUUUACAUGCC
rfam:Picea glauca, whole genome shotgun sequence.